rfam:Treponema pedis str. T A4, complete genome.
AAAACACUGGCCGAGUUUGCCGUUCGGCAAACAUCAUUUUAUUGUAUGCACUUUUUCACUUCGUUGCAAAAAUGCGGCAAUUCGGCAAUCCUCGAAAUCUGAUGAUUUCUGCGGUUGUCGAAUUUAAAA